rnacentral:rRNA from 1 species
UGCCAGCCGCCGCGGUAAUACGGAGGGUGCAAGCGUUAUCCGGAAUCACUGGGUUUAAAGGGUGCGUAGGCGGUUUGUUAAGUCAGAGGUGAAAGUUUGCAGCUCAACUGUAAAAUUGCCUUUGAAACUGACAGACUUGAAUAGCGUUGAGGUCAGCGGAAUGUGACAUGUAGCGGUGAAAUGCAUAGAUAUGUCAUAGAACACCAAUUGCGAAGGCAGCUGGCUGGGCGUUUAUUGACGCUGAGGCACGAAAGCGUGGGGAGCGAACAGGAUUAGAUA